UUCAUGAACCAAGCAGCAGAAGUUUCAAGAAUCUUCAAUUUCCUCUAUAUUCAGACUGAACCGACUGGAUCAAACUUCAAUGAAGUUGAAGGUGAUUGAAUGCGGGUGAUCGAGCGUGCGCGCACUCAUGCUUGCAGGAUAUCCGCGGAUGCAGGAGGCGGCUGACCGGGAGGAUGACGGCAAGCGCGCAAGAGCGAGAAGUCGGUAACUUAACUGGCCUAAAUGGGUUUAACUCGAUGUGAUUUUGCUGGCGAACCACUAAAUUGAACGAAUACGAACUAAACUGAACUCAACUAAGCUAAUCAUAUCACAUUACUAGCGUUAUUAGCCGAGAGACGAUAUAAGUGAAGGUCCGGUGGUGCCGGGCUGCAGUAACGGGUCGCCUCCUGCACUGACCCUCUGCACGACUUUCUUUUCGACCCCUUUUUCUCGUUCACACUGUCAAGAAUUUCGUGUCCUGUAUCAUCUAUCCGUAUCUAAAUCAUAGAAACGCGAUCAUUCUGUAUAAUUGUUACGUUUGUCGUUGUUUACGAAAUUGUUUUUUAGGUUAGUUUUGUGAAACUUUGUGGGAAGUGAAGUCUCUCGGAAGAAACAGACGAUUCUCGAUGUACACGAGGUCUGGCGGACGAUGUUGCCCGAUCCUGGCCGAGUCGCAACGCUACCUUGACUGUGCAACAGGAAACACGUGCUCCCGGUGAAAGUGACAGCUCGGAGCGCGCCAAAUUUGAAACGGAGAUCGAAGAAUCGCGUUGUUCGUAACCUUGAAGACACUGCUAAAGAUAGACCAGAGGAUUUUCGCGGGUGGCAAAGGAAGGCAGUCGGCGAAAGACGAGCUUUCUUCGAAUCGAAAGAGGAAGAUCGAGUGACGGAGCGUGUCCGCCCGACAACAGCGAAUCCUCAAGCUCGAAAAUAGAUCGCAUAGCUUUCCCGGCACUUCAAACGACGUGUAUCGUAAUAGGCAAGCCCGCUGCUCACCGAAAAGUCUUGGCCACGGAUAAUUAAACGUUUAUAAACACCGGAGAUUCCGCAAAAGCCUGGUCGCACAUGACAUUAUUUGGCGCGCUUCACCGAAAGAGCAA